AGCAGCCGCGGUAAUUCCAGCUCCAAUAGCGUAUAUUAAAGUUGUUGCAGUUAAAAAGCUCGUAGUUGAAUUUCGGGAUUGGCGCAUCGGUCGUGCCUCACGGGGUAUGAACUGGUGCAGUCAAUUUCUCACCUUCUGGAGAACCGCGAUGUCCUUAAUUGGAUGCCGCGGGGAACCAGGACCUUUACUUUGAAAAAUUAGAGUGUUUAAAGCAGGCAUUUUUGCUUGAAUACAUUAGCAUGGAAUAAUAAAAUAGGACGGCAUGGUUCUAUUUUGUGGUUUCUAGGACCACCGUAAUGAUUAAUAGGGAUAGUUGGGGGCAUUAGUAUUCAAUUGUCAGAGGUGAAAUUCUUGGAUUUAUUGAAGACUAACUACUGCGAAAGCAUUUGCCAAGGAUGUUUCCAUUAAUCAAGAACGAAAGUUAGGGGAUCGAAGACGAUCAGAUACCGUCGUAGUCUUAACCAUAAACUAUGCCGACUAGGAAUCAGACGAUGUUAAUUUUUAAUGUACUCGUUUGGCU
rnacentral:misc_RNA from 1 species